UAGCUCAGACAGUAAAGCCUCUGCCUACAAUGCAGGAGACCUGGGUUCAAUCCCCAG
rnacentral:tRNA from 1 species